AUUAAACAAGAAUGUGUCCAAAGUACACGGAUGCCCCACUUUCACUAUCAUUUUCCAUGUUCAAUGGACCAUGAAAUUGAAUAAAAAAUAUAAUUAGGCAUUAAAAUUAGAAAGAUAAUAUCAUAGGGAACAUGUGUACUAAGUUUCAAGUUGAUUGGACUUCAACUUCAUCAAAAACUACCUUGACCAAAAACUUUAACCUGAAACAUGCACUUUCAUUUUCUAUGUUCAGUGGACCGUGAAAUUGGGGUCAAAAGUUUAAUUUGGCUUUAAAAUUAGAAAGAUCAUAUCAUAAGGAACAUGUGUACUAAGUUUCAAGUUGAUUGGACUUCAAC
rnacentral:lncRNA from 1 species